UACGGAGGAUCCAAGCGUUAUCCGGAUUUAUGGGGUUUAAAGGGUGCGUAGGCGGUUUGGUAAGUCAGUGGUGAAAGCCUGCAGCUCAACUGUAGAGCUGCCAUUGAUACUGCUAGUCUUGAAUAUAGUUGAGGUAGGCGGAAUAUGACAUGUAGCGGUGAAAUGCUUAGAUAUGUCAUAGAACACCGAUUGCGAAGGCAGCUUGCUAAACUAUUAUUGACGCUGAGGCACGAAAGCGUGGGUAGCAAACAGG
rnacentral:rRNA from 1 species